AGCGAACGCUGGCGGCAGGCCUAACACAUGCAAGUCGAACGAACUCUUCGGAGUUAGUGGCGGACGGGUGAGUAACACGUGGGAACGUGCCUUUUGGUUCGGAAUAACUCAGGGAAACUUGUGCUAAUACCGAAUGUGCCCUUCGGGGGAAAGAUUUAUCGCCAUUAGAGCGGCCCGCGUCUGAUUAGCUAGUUGGUGAGGUAACGGCUCACCAAGGCGACGAUCAGUAGCUGGUCUGAGAGGAUGACCAGCCACACUGGGACUGAGACACGGCCCAGACUCCUACGGGAGGCAGCAGUGGGGAAUCUUGCGCAAUGGGCGAAAGCCUGACGCAGCCAUGGCGCGUGAAUGAUGAAGGUCUUAGGAUUGUAAAAUUCUUUCACCGGGGACGAUAAUGACGGUACCCGGAGAAGAAGCCCCGGCUAACUUCGUG
rnacentral:rRNA from 1 species